AUUUUUCUAGUAUAUAAGUACAUUUGACUUCCAAUCAAAAAGUUUGAGUUCUCAAGAAAAAUU
rnacentral:tRNA from 1 species